CACGUAGGGUGCGAGCGUUGUCCGGAAUUAUUGGGCGUAAAGAGCCCGUAGGCGGUGUGUCACGUCGGCCGUGAAAACCUGCAGCUUAACUGUGGGCGUGCGGUCGAUACGGGCAUCACUGGAGUUCGGCAGGGGAGACUGGAAUUCCUGGUGUAGCGGUGAAAUGCGCAGAUAUCAGGAGGAACACCGGUGGCGAAGGCGGGUCUCUGGGCCGAUACUGACGCUGAGGAGCGAAAGCGUGGGGAGCAAACAGG
rnacentral:rRNA from 1 species